UACGUAGGUGGCAAGCGUUGUCCGGAUUUACUGGGCGUAAAGAGCGCGCAGGCGGUCGUUCAAGUCGCGUGUGAAAGCCCCCGGCUCAACUGGGGAGGGUCACGCGAUACUGAUCGACUCGAAGGCAGGAGAGGGUAGUGGAAUUCCCGGUGUAGUGGUGAAAUGCGUAGAUAUCGGGAGGAACACCAGUGGCGAAGGCGACUACCUGGCCUGUUUCUUGACGCUGAGGCGCGAAAGCUAGGGGAGCAAGCGGG
rnacentral:rRNA from 1 species